GCCUAGUUGGCUCAGUUGGUAGAGCACGUGACUCUUGAUCUCUGGGUUGUGAGUUCAAGCCCCAUUUGGGUA
rnacentral:tRNA from 1 species